GUCAAGUCCUCAUGGCCCUUAUAGUGGGGCUACACACGUCAUACAAUGGCUGGUACAAAGGGUUGCCAACCCGCAGGGGGAGCCAAUCCCAUAAAGCCAGUCGUAGUCCGGAUCGCAGUCUGCAACUCGACUGCGUGAAGUCGGAAUCGCUAGUAAUCGUGGAUCAGCAUGUCACGGUGAAUACGUUCCCGGGUCUU
rnacentral:rRNA from 1 species